rnacentral:rRNA from 1 species
GACAGAGGGUGCAAACGUUGUUCGGAAUUACUGGGCGUAAAGCGCGUGUAGGUGGCAAGGCAAGUCGGGUGUGAAAGCCCUGGCUCAACCCAGGAAGUGCACUCGAUACUGCCUCGCUAGAGUCCCGGAGAGGUUGGUGGAACUCUCGGUGUAGAGGUGAAAUUCGUAGAUAUCGAGAAGAACACCGGUGGCGAAGGCGGCCAACUGGACGGUGACUGACACUGGAGACGCGAAAGCGUGGGAGCAA